GAUGAACGCUGGCGGCGUGCCUAAUACAUGCAAGUCGAGCGAAUGGAUUAAGAGCUUGCUCUUAUGAAGUUAGCGGCGGACGGGUGAGUAACACGUGGGUAACCUGCCCAUAAGACUGGGAUAACUCCGGGAACCGGGGCUAAUACCGGAUAACAUUUUGAACCGCAUGGUUCGAAAUUGAAAGGCGGCUUCGGCUGUCACUUAUGGAUGGACCCGCGUCGCAUUAGCUAGUUGGUGAGGUAACGGCUCACCAAGGCAACGAUGCGUAGCCGACCUGAGAGGGGGAUCGGCCACACUGGGACUGAGACACGGCCCAGACUCCUACGGGAGGCAGCAGUAGGGAAUCUUCCGCAAUGGACGAAAGUCUGACGGAGCAACGCCGCGUGAGUGAUGAAGGCUUUCGGGUCGUAAAACUCUGUUGUUAGGGAAGAACAAGUGCUAGUUGAAUAAGCUGACACCUUGACGGUACCUAACCAGAAAGCCACGGCUAACUACGUGCCAGCCGCCGCGGUAA
rnacentral:rRNA from 1 species